rnacentral:miRNA from 1 species
UCUAUGUAGGUUGAUGCAAAAAUAAUGGAGUUUUUUUCCCAUGAAAGGUAAUGGCAAAAAUGGCAAUUACUUUUGCACCAACCAAUA